rnacentral:rRNA from 1 species
GCAAAUCAUUAUAAAUUGAUUAAUAUUUAUUUAUUAAAUUUUUUUCUUUUAUUUUAUAAUUUAUUAAAAAUAAUUAUAUAGUUUAAUGUUUUAGUAAUUUUUAAUGAAAAAAUAAUAUUAAUGAUAGUUUAUUAAGUAUUGUGAAAGAUAAUUGAAAUAUUUUGAAAAAUUUUUAUUUAAAAAGAAAAUUUUAAUUAUUGUACCUUGUGUAUCAGGGUUUAUUAAAUAAUUAAUAAUUAUUUUAUUAAUCUCGAUUUUAUAAGAGUUAAUUAUUUAUUAAAGUUAAUGUGUCAAAAUUAUUUUAAAUAAAUAAUUAGAAAUGAAAUGUUAUUCGUUUAUAAAGGUAUCUAGUUUUUUUAGAAAUAAAUUUAAUUUACAAAUUUUUAAUUUUUUAUUUAUUUAUUUAAUUAAAAAAAUUAUUAAUUUGAAUAUUUUAAGGGAUAAGCUUUAAAAUAAAUUAUUAAAAAUUAGUAAUUAAAAUAUAAAAUGUAUGAAUAGAAUUUUCAAUCAUUUAUAAAUUUGUUAUAAAUUAUUUUAUAAUUUAUAUUAUUUACUAUUAUUUUAAGUUUUUAUAAAAAUUUUUUCAUAAAUUUUUUUUGAAAAUUAAUAAUGAUAAAAUUAGUAUAUUAAUGUUGUAUAUAUAAUUUUAUAUGAUAAGUUUUUAUAAAGAACUCGGCAAAUUUAUAUACUCGCCUGUUUAACAAAAACAUGUCUUUUUGAGUUAUUUUUAAAGUCUGACCUGCCCACUGAAUAAUUUUGAAUGGCCGCAGUAUUUUAACUGUGCAAAGGUAGCAUAAUCAUUAGUCUUUUAAUUGAAGGCUGGUAUGAAUGGUUGGACGAAGUAUAAACUGUUUCAUAUAAAUUUAUUAUAGAAUUUUAUAUUUUAGUUAAAAAGCUAAAAUAUGAUUAAAAGACGAGAAGACCCUAUAAAUCUUUAUAUUUAUUAUUAUUUUAAUUUUUUGGAUAUAUUUUAUUUUAAUAAUAUUAAGUAUUUUGUUGGGGUGAUGUUAAAAUUUAAUAAACUUUUAAUUAUUGAAAUCAUUAAUUUAUGAUUUAUUGAUCCGUUAAUAACGAUUAUAAGAUUAAGUUACUUUAGGGAUAACAGCGUAAUUUUUUUGGAGAGUUCUUAUCGAUAAAAAAGUUUGCGACCUCGAUGUUGGAUUAAGAUAUAUUUUUAGGUGUAGCUGCUUAAAUAUUAAGUCUGUUCGACUUU